UUCUCCAAACUCGGCGGAGCAUCCCUCUGUUACCUUAUUCUUCCACCUCUGUUAUAUCUCUGGGACAGUACUAAAUUUUGUGCCGACGAAGGUAGGAUGGGAUUUAAAAGUCACUGGCGGGGGACACUGGCUGGGGGGUAGGAACGGAGGAAGACGAUGCCCUGCGCUUCAUUUCUCAGUUGCUCCCUCUGGAUGCGCGCUCGGAUGACUACGAGCCUUGCCUCCUCCGCUACUCUUCGCGUGCCGUCUAUCUUUUACCGGAACCGUAGAAAUCCAAACUCUUUUACGGCCGAAGCAACGCCCAUGAAGGCUGGGAUAUAUGUGCCGCCAAUCCAUCGUUUGCGGUCGGUUAUAGCUUCGGCGAAUGGGAGCGUUGUCACCACCUCGCGGUCUGCCGACAAAGAUUGGCGCGACUCUCUCGGACAGUCUUUGGCGAUUGAAGCUGACAGAUUUAACUAUUACCGGCACCAGAGCUCACACUACUCAAGGUAUGCAUAUGAGGAUUUUUCGGAAGAUGAGUCUGAUCGGGAUUUGGACGCGUCUUCAACUUCAAGCAAGGGUACCUCUAGUUUAGAGAAUGUUGACGAGUGGAAAUGGAAAUUCAGUAUGCUUCUUCGUAAUGAGUUUGAGCAAGAGUUGGUAUCAAGGGAAAGGAAGGAUAGACGCGACUAUGAGCAUAUUGCAGCAAAUGCUGAAAGAAUGGGAUUGUAUAGCCGUCAAUAUGCAAAGGUUGUUGUCUUUAGCAAGCUUCCAUUGCCGAAUUACCGACCUGACCUCGAUGAAAAGCGGCCCCAAAGGGAGGUGUCAAUUCCUAUUGGGUUGCAAAGGGAAGUGGAUUCUUUGCUCACAGACUAUCUUACUCGAAAGAGAGCUAAUCCAGAAAGCUUUCCGAGUACUGGCUUUUCAAGGUCUAGCAGCGCUGAUAGUUUUGCUACUGAUGAUGGUCUCUUUGAGCAGCAGGAUAAUCAAACGUCCACCUCUGUGGUAAUGGAAAAAAUGCUAAGACGGAGGAGCUUGCAGCUGCGAAAUCAACAAGCUGCUUGGCAGGAAUCUCCAGAGGGCCUAAAGAUGCUUGAAUUUCGUAGAAGUCUCCCAUCUUACAAAGAAAAGGAGGCAUUGUUGGAGGCCAUUUCUCGAAAUCAGGUUGUUGUCAUUUCAGGUGAGACAGGCUGCGGUAAGACAACACAACUACCUCAGUAUGUUCUAGAAUCUGAGAUUGCUAAUGCUCGAGGCGCGACAUGUAGUAUCAUUUGCACUCAGCCUAGACGUAUAUCUGCCAUGGCUGUAGCUGAAAGAGUUGCAGCAGAACGAGGGGAAAAUUUGGGUGAAUCUGUUGGUUAUAAGGUUCGGCUAGAAGGUAUUAAGGGGAGGGAUACUCGCCUUCUUUUCUGUACGACAGGAAUUUUGUUGAGGAGAUUGCUUGUUGACCGAAAUUUGAAAGGUGUUACGCAUGUGUUUGUAGAUGAGAUUCAUGAACGUGGAAUGAAUGAAGAUUUUCUUCUUGUCGUCCUGAAAGACCUACUGCCUCGUAGACCAGAGCUCAAGUUGAUUUUGAUGAGUGCUACUCUGAAUGCUGAGCUUUUUUCUUCAUAUUUUUCUGGGUCGCCCAUGAUGCAUAUACCUGGUUUUACAUAUCCUGUUCGGACUCACUUUUUAGAGAAUGUUCUAGAAGUUAUUGGACACAGGCUGACUCCGUACAAUCAAAUUGAUGACUAUGGACAAGACAAAAGUUGGAAAAUGCAGAAGCAGGCUCUUAGGAAAAGGAAGAGCCAAAUUGCUUCUGCUGUUGAAGAUGCUCUUGAAGCUGCUGAUUUUCGAGAUUAUAGCUCUAGAACUCGUGAGUCACUAGCCUGCUGGAACCCUGAUUCUAUUGGUUUCAAUCUCAUAGAGAGUGUCCUAGUCCAUAUAUGUCAAAAGGAAAGGCCAGGUGCUAUUCUGGUUUUCAUGACUGGUUGGGAUGAUAUUAAUUCACUUAAAGAACAGCUUCAAUCUCAUCCACUACUUGGAGAUCCUAGCAAAGUUUUAAUUCUCCCAUGCCAUGGGUCCAUGGCUAGCUCUGAACAGAGAUUAAUAUUUGAUAAGCCACAAAACGGAGCGAGGAAAAUAGUUCUUGCUACAAACAUGGCUGAGACAAGUAUCACAAUCAAUGAUGUUGUUUUUGUUGUUGAUUGUGGAAAGGCAAAAGAGACUUCGUAUGAUGCGUUGAACAAUACCCCAUGUUUGCUCCCAACAUGGAUCUCCAAGGCUUCUGCUCGACAGAGAAGAGGAAGAGCUGGGCGCGUCCAGCCCGGGGAAUGUUACCAUCUUUAUCCAAAAUGCGUGUAUGAGGUUUUUGCAGACUACCAAUUACCAGAACUUCUAAGAACACCUUUACAGUCUCUUUGUUUGCAAAUCAAAAGCCUCAGGCUUGGAAGCAUAUCAGAAUUCUUGUCUAGAGCUUUGCAAUCUCCUGAAACAUUAUCUGUUCAAAAUGCUAUUGAAUAUCUGAAAGUUAUUGGUGCGUUAGAUGAGAAGCAGGAGCUAACCAUUCUAGGACGGCACCUGGCUAUGCUGCCAGUUGAACCAAAACUUGGGAAGAUGCUCAUCUUUGGAGCUAUUUUCAAAUGCCUGGAUCCCAUAUUGACUGUUGUUGCUGGUCUAAGUGUUAGAGAUCCUUUCAUUACUCCAUUUGACAAGAAGGAUCUUGCAGAUUCUGCAAAAUCUCAAUUUUCUUGCCGGGAUUAUAGUGAUCAUCUUGCACUUAUUCGGGCCUAUGAGGGUUGGAAGGAUGCUGAAAGGGAUCAUUCUGGAUAUGAUUACUGCUGGAAGAAUUUUCUUUCUGUACAGACUUUGAAGGCAAUUGAUUCUCUUAGAAAGCAGUUCCAUUUUCUGCUUAAGGAUGCUGGCCUUGUUGAUGAGAACUUAAUGUCAUUCAACAUUUGGUGUCGUGACGAGAAUCUUGUCCGGGCAGUUAUCUGUGCUGGCCUUUUUCCUGGAAUUUGUUCAGUUGUGAACAAGGAGAGAUCCAUAGCUUUGAAAACUAUGGAGGAUGGACAAGUCAUGCUUUAUUCUAGCUCUGUUAAUGGAAAGGAAGCUAAAAUUCCUUAUCCGUGGUUAGUUUUUAACGAGAAAGUGAAGGUGAACUCUGUCUUCCUUAGGGAUUCAACCGCAAUUUCUGACUCGGUAUUACUGCUAUUUGGAGGGAAUAUUUGCAGGGGUGGACUUGAUGGACAUUUAAAAAUGUUAGGUGGCUACCUUGAAUUCUUCAUGAAGCCAGAUUUGGCAUAUACCUUUGUAACUCUUAAGAAAGAGCUGGAGGAGCUGAUUCUGAACAAGCUUCAAAACCCUAGAAUGGAUAUAGAAUCCAGGGAGGAGCUGCUGCAUGCAACUCGCUUGCUCGUUACCGAUGAUCCAUGCAGUGGGCAGUUUGUAUUUGGUCGUCAGGAGCUUAAGCCCAAAAAAAUGAAAAAUCUACUUGCAACAAGUUUGGGAGAAGGUGGUGGCGGUGGCGGUGGCGAUAAUCCCAAGAGCCAACUUCAGACGUUGCUUACAAGAGCUGGGCAUGACAACCCAACCUACAAAAUGAAGCAGUUGAAGGGCAAUCAGUUUAGAGCAACGGUUGAGUUCAAUGGGAUGCAAUUCAUCAGCCAGCCCUGUGGAAACAAAAAACUAGCGGAGAAAAAUGCUGCUUCUGAGGCAUUGGAUUGGCUGAUAGGUGGAGCCUCAUCAGACUUUCGGGACUUUGAUCAAAUGUCCAUGGCCCUUAAGAAGAGCAAGAAGCAGCAUCAUAGGAGAACAUGAAUCUGGAACCGGAAUAUGUAACUGCCUUCUCAUGCCAUUGUUGCCUGUGAAAGCAUUGUCCGGUGAUGCAAUCUGGUCCACCUCCACUGCACUUAAUGGAGAUUGAAGCCCUCAUAGACUUUGUGGAAGGCUGUCAUGAUUUUUCCUGUCCCGGUCUCAUGAUGAUCAGCUAUAUAUUAUAAAGUCAGAUCAUGUUGUCAGGAAUUAUAAUUUUUUCUUCUCCAAAACUUACAACGUAUCAAAGCUUUUAAAUGAUGACCGAAAGUGCUCUAGGCGAAGAUUGAACCUUCAUUGAUUGAUUGAGCGCAAAGUUAUUGUUCCUGUAUCUAUUCUGUGCGAAGCUGCUUGCACCUUCCCACGUGACGAUGCUUCUCCUUUGAAGUCGUGUUGUUCCUUCAUUUCUUCCUCACGAAGCCGUUGUUCCCACGUGACGAUGUGUCUUUUCCUUUUGAAGCCAUUUGUGCAUGGAAGCAUCAUUCGAAGGAUCAUCUAAUUUCUCCAUCACUACGAAACUCGCAAUCGAAGCAGCUGAUUGUGUGACUCGUUCAAAGACACUGUCUUAUCCCUUUGAAGUCAUUGUUACGUACUUCAUAUUCGAAGAGGUUGUAUUCUCCUCGACAGAACUCAAUAGUGGAAGAGGAAGCUAACACUAGCUGGUCGUACAACUUCUCCGUAGAUGUUGUUGUUUCUUCAUAGCUAUAUGAACUUACAACAUGUUCUCGCAUGACAUUGUAUAAGUCAAUGAUGACGACUGAAGUCCAAGAAAUUCAGCACUUCUACUGGCUCCAGUAAUUCUGUAACCACUUCGUCUCACCCUACUGCCCCUUUCAUGACUGCAUCUUGAGCACUACUCACAAAAUCUAGCAACUUAACUCACGGUUAUUAAACUUACAACUAUCUCAAGUGGGCUCAAUCCAUAAAAUUGGCGAUAGGCAAAAGAGAGAAAAUUGAUCGAAGAAACUUCAAAGCCUAUUGCUGGCGAUCCAAACUAAAACGAUGACAGUCCAAAAAAUUCUCUGGUUAAGAUAUGGCUCAUCAACUCAUUGGAACUUAUGAUAGGAGAGCAACAUUUAUUCCUUCCAACUGCUUGAGAUAUUUGGGGUUGUUCAAGAUAUCUAUUCAAGCUAGGAGAAUUCUUGCCAAAUUUAUGAGUUGAAAACUCAACUUUUGAAAUCAAACAAAAUGACCGUGAUGUUACUACAUAUUACAACGAGUUGGUAGCAUUAUGACAGAAAUUUGAUCAAGGUUGUGAUGAUAUUUGGAAGAAUUUAAAUGAUUAUGUUCGCCACAGGGAGAGGAAAAUAACGGAGUCUACAUAUUCUUAGCCAACUUUAAUUGGAAUUUUGACGAGGUUCAAGGAGACAUACUUGGUAGAAAACCCCAACCCUCUAUUCGAGAAGUAUUUUAUGAAAUUAGAUGGGAAGGGUCAAGAAAAAAAAUUAUGUUGUGCAACAUUGAAUCUUCUUGUAACACUGAAUAGGAAAACUCAGCUUUUAUGUCAAAGGGGGUAGAUAUUGACAAAGAAGGGUGUAAGAAAACAUGAUGCAAGCAUUGCAAAAAAUCAUUACACACGAAAGAGAUAUUAAAAGCUUGAUGUUAAACCUGCAAAUUGGAAAUCAAAAUCUAAACGAGAAAGUUGAGCUUAUCAAGCAACUACUGAAGAAACUCAGGAGCCCCCUUGAAUGUAGUUCCUUGCGCCAAGGAACAAUUAGAGCCCUUGUACAAACUGUUUUAAUCUCCAAAAUUGUCUCUGGCUCCAUCGUGCUUCUUAGUGCAGAAAGGUACCACCCCACCAGCUUGGUCUGUUGGAUGGUCUAUUUGUUUGGUGGCCAUCAUCGCAUUGUUCAGAGGUAUUCAGUUUGGCCUUUCUUAGCUCACUGUUUGUUUCCCUUCUGCUCUCACCUCCCACUGCUGCUUCUUAAAUGGCUUUGUUUGAUCAACACCAUGCAUUAUUUUGGCUCUGGAUUUGAUUCAGAGAUUGUGAAAAAGUUCAAAUUGAGCUGAUUUGGAUUGAAUUCUGGCUUGAAUUUAGAUCAGAUUGGAGUUCAUGAGUUGGAUUUGUCUUGCUUUUGAUCUGAUUUGCUCGACUUGAGUUCAUCUUAAGCUUUGAUUAGAUCGGGUUGGGUUCGGAUUGUUAGUAAGGUGCAGCUUUUGAAUAUCUGUAGUUUUAGAUAUUUACAU